CAAAAAGAGCAAACAAUUUUUUCUGUUGAAAUAAGUCACGCUGUCAAAAUAUUUUCCGCAGAUGUAACACAGUUCGAAGCGAUGACAGCAACAGAACACGUUGACAACAAACAGGUAUUGGAUUCAGAUCUGGACAAGACGUUGCCGAGAUUUUGACUACAGCAACUGGGACUUGCAAGUGCGAAUUCAGGUCGACAUCUAGACCAACCAUCGGGGCA